UCAAAGAUAAGCUAAAUCAAGCUAACGGGCCCAUACCCCGUUCAUGAGAAUAUCUCUUUGUA
rnacentral:tRNA from 1 species